UACAGAGGUCCCGAGCGUUGUUCGGAUUCACUGGGCGUAAAGGGUGCGCAGGUGGGUUUGCAAGUUUGAUGUGAAAGCCCCGGGCUUAACCCGGGAAUGGCAUUGAAUACUGCAGAUCUGGAGGAUUGGAGGGGAGACUGGAAUUCUUGGUGUAGCAGUGAAAUGCGUAGAUAUCAAGAGGAACACCAGUGGCGAAGGCGAGUCCCUGGACAAUACCUGACACUGAGGCACGAAAGCCAAGGGAGCAAACAGG
rnacentral:rRNA from 1 species